rnacentral:lncRNA from 1 species
GUCAAUUCUGGUUAUGAUCUAAGUAUUUAUUUGUGCAACAGAAACAUUGCCAAACUCUACCUCAUAUCCCAUUGUUUGCUCUGUAAAUAUUUAUAUCAAGGGUCUGGGAAUUGAACUUGAACAGAAUGUCUAUAAACUUAUGUAUCCGGGAGACAGAGAAUAAGCAAUAAACAAGUGAAUACAGAAUGAGGUCCUUAGCAAGAAGAGCUUUGAGGGGAGCAAGAAAGCAGGGCAAGAGGAAAAUAAACAUUUCUGUAAUAAUUUUGUCUAUGAUGGCUCUAAAAAUUCCUUCUAAGAAGGUGACACUUGAACAGACUCAGGAGAGAAGUGAUGGAGUGAGCCACGUGCAUGUUUAGAGGAGGGUAUCUCAGCCACAGAGAAAAGCAAGGGAAAAGACCAUGAAGGUACAGGAUGCUCAGUGCUUUUGAAAAACAGCAAGGAGACUGUUGUAGCUGGAGCAGAGAGAGAAUGGGCAAGUGGUUUGGUGAUAAGACUGGAGAGAUUGUAGGGGACCAUGGUACCUAAGGCCCCAGAGGUCAGUAUUAGGGUAUUGGCAUUGAUCUGAAUGAGAUGGAAAGCUUCAGUUGCUGGUCUCAAAAGAUC